AAGGCUUCACUCCUUGAUGCGGAUUCAGCGCGCCAUGGCUUGCCCGCUGCCGGGUGGCGGGCCGCUUAGAAGAACGUCCAGCUGCCGAACCACUUCAGGAAAUGAACGGCAUAAUCCCGGCUGAUCGUCUGUCCCGUCAGCACCGGAUAGAACAUCGCCAUCAGCGCGGCGGCAGC
rnacentral:sRNA from 1 species